rnacentral:lncRNA from 1 species
CACCUGAUUUAUGUCUUUCAACCGACCAAAACUGAUAUUUAUUGGGUCGGAUUGGGUGGAUUUCUUCGGAUUUCGGAUAUUUGCUCAGCCUUAGUUGCCAUAAAGAUCUCCAUGGGUUUGGCCAAAUGUGGGAUAGAAUUAAGCUUUUGGUGCCUUUUUCCUCAUCAGUUGCCUUUGUGGCUACCCAUGGAUGAGAUUUUUUUUUUUGGUUGCUGCCCUUGCUGAGGAAUUCGAUUGGCUUUAUCUCUAUUGGCUGUUGCUUAUUUGGUUGUGGAGGGAGACAAUGACGAGACUCCUUGUAGCUACAGAUUUCCAUUGAUUCAGUGUUGCAUGCCGCUGCUUCUCUGUAGAUACUUCUUUUGAGUCUUUGCUCUCCCUUAUCAGGUUAAGACUACCAGUAUCUCCUCUUGGAUUUACUUUUAUAUUGUACAUCCUCUUGAUUUUUUUUUUGAUCUUUCAGGCAGACUGUUUUACCUUUUUAGUGCUUCUUUUUCUAUACCUGGAUAUCCU